AACGAACGCUGGCGGCAUGCCUAACACAUGCAAGUCGAACGAAGCCUUCGGGCUUAGUGGCGCACGGGUGCGUAACGCGUGGGAAUCUGCCCUUUGGUUCGGAAUAACAGUUGGAAACGACUGCUAAUACCGGAUGAUGACGAAAGUCCAAAGAUUUAUCGCCAGAGGAUGAGCCCGCGUAGGAUUAGCUAGUUGGUGUGGUAAAGGCGCAACAAGGCGACUAUCCUUAGCUGGUCUGAGAGGAUGAUCAGCCACACUGGGACUGAGACACGGCCCAGACUCCUACGGGAGGCAGCAGUGGGGAAUAUUGGAGAAUGGGCGAAAGCCUGAUCCAGCAAUGCCGCGUGAGUGAUGAAGGCCCUAGGGUUGUAAAGCUCUUUUACCCGGGAUGAUAAUGACAGUACCGGGAGAAUAAGCCCCGGCUAACUCCGUGCCAGCAGCCGCGGUAA
rnacentral:rRNA from 1 species